CAGGGGGUGCAAGCGUUGCUCGGAAUCACUGGGCGUAAAGCGUACGCAGGCGGACCGUUAAGUCGGGUGUGAAAGCCCGGGGCCCAACCCCGGAACUGCAUUCGAUACUGGCGGUCUUGAAUACGGGAGAGGUGAGUGGAAUUCCUGGUGUAGAGGUGAAAUUCGUAGAUAUCAGGAGGAACACCGGUGGCGAAAGCGGCUCACUGGCCCGAUAUUGACGCUCAUGUACGAAAGCGUGGGGAGCAAACAGGAUUAGAUACCCUGGUAGUCCACGCUGUAAACGAUGAGUGCUAGCUGCUGGAGAUCCUUUUAUUUCUUCGGUGGCGUAGCCAACGCGUUAAGCACUCCGCCUGGGAAGUACGGCCGCAAGGCUA
rnacentral:rRNA from 1 species